rnacentral:rRNA from 1 species
AACGAACGCUGGCGGCAGGCCUAACACAUGCAAGUCGAACGAGAACCUUCCUUCGGGAAGCAGAGAGUGGCGAACGGGUGAGUAACACGUGGGCAACCUACCCCUCACACUGGGAUAACCUCGGGAAACCGGGGCUAAUACCGGAUAUUCACGACCUCGGGCAUCCGAGGACGUGGAAAGGAUUCUGGUGAGGGAUGGGCCCGCGGCCUAUCAGUUUGUUGGUGGGGUAAUGGCCUACCAAGACGACGACGGGUAGCCGGCCUGAGAGGGCGACCGGCCACACUGGGACUGAGACACGGCCCAGACUCCUACGGGAGGCUGCAGUGGGGAAUAUUGCGCAAUGGACGAAAGUCUGACGCAGCAACGCCGCGUGAGGGAUGAAGUACAUCGAGAUGUAAACCUCUUUCAGUAGGGACGAAGCGAAAGUGACGGUACCUGCAAAAGAAGCGCCGGCUAACUACGUG